rnacentral:rRNA from 1 species
AUUGAACGCUGGCGGCAGGCCUAACACAUGCAAGUCGAACGAGUGGCGGACGGGUGAGUAAUGUCUGGGAAACUGCCUGAUGGAGGGGGAUAACUACUGGAAACGGUAGCUAAUACCGAAUACAUUAGGAUUUGCCAAGGUGGGUUUGGCUGGUUGGUGGGGUAAGGCCUCACCAAGGCGACGAUCCUUAGCGGGUCUGAGAGGAUGACCAGCCACACUGGAACUGAGACACGGUCCAGACUCCUACGGGAGGCAGCAGUGGGGAAGAUUGCACAAUGGGCGCAAGCCUGAUGCAGCCAUGCCGCGUGUAUGAAGAAGGCCUUCGGGUUGUAAAGUACUUUCAGCGGGGAGGCGUUACCCGCAGAAGAAGCACCGGCUAACUCCGUGCCAGCAGCCGCGGUAAUUC